rnacentral:rRNA from 1 species
AACGAACGCUGGCGGCAUGCCUAACACAUGCAAGUCGAACGAUACCUGCCGGUCUAGUGGCGCACGGGUGCGUAACGCGUGGGAACCUUCCCUUAGGUGCGGAAUAACUCCCCGAAAGGGGUGCUAAUACCAGAUAAUGGCUUCUGCCCAAUGAUGAAUCGCCUUUGGAUGGGGACGCGUUGGAUUUGCUAGUAGGUAGGGUAAAAGCCUACCAAGGUGGUGUUCCAUAGCUGGUCUGAGAGGAAGAUCCGACACACUUGGGGGGGGACACGGCCCAGACUGUUAGGGGAGGCCGAAAGGCGGAAUAUUGGAAACUGGGGGAGAGAAUGAUGGAGUCAGGCCGCGAGAGUGAUGUAGUCCGGAGGGACGUAAAGCUGUUUUAAACGCGAGGCUAAUGACGGUACCGGGAGAAUAAGCUCCGGCUAACUCCGUG